CGGGACGGGUGAGUAACGCGUGGGUAACCUGCCUUGUACAGGGGGAUAACAGUUGGAAACGGCUGCUAAUACCGCAUAAGCGCACAGCAUCGCAUGAUGCAGUGUGAAAAACUCCGGUGGUAUAAGAUGGACCCGCGGUUGGAUUAGCUAGUUGGUGAGGUAACGGCCCACCAAGGCGACGAUCCAUAGCCGACCUGAGAGGGUGAACGGCCACAUUGGGACUGAGACACGGCCCAA
rnacentral:rRNA from 1 species